UGGGGAAUAUUGGACAAUGGGCGAAAGCCUGAUCCAGCCAUGCCGCGUGUGUGAAGAAGGUCUUCGGAUUGUAAAGCACUUUAAGUUGGGGGGAAGGGCAUUAACCUAAUACGUUAGUGUUUUGACGUUACCGACAGAAUAAGCACCGGCUAACUCUGUGCCAGCAGCCGCGGUAAUACAGAGGGUGCAAGCGUUAAUCGGAAUUACUGGGCGUAAAGCGCGCGUAGGUGGUUUGUUAAGUUGGAUGUGAAAUCCCCGGGCUCAACCUGGGAACUGCAUUCAAAACUGACUGACUAGAGUAUGGUAGAGGGUGGUGGAAUUUCCUGUGUAGCGGUGAAAUGCGUAGAUAUAGGAAGGAACACCAGUGGCGAAGGCGACCACCUGGACUAAUACUGACACUGAGGUGCGAAAGCGUGGGGAGCAAACA
rnacentral:rRNA from 1 species